rnacentral:lncRNA from 1 species
ACCUGAGACCAGCAUAAAAUCUUGUACAUAUGAAUCCAUAUUUUGGUUCAUACUUAAAUAUGAUAUUAAAUCAUAUACGUGGUGUUCUGAAUAUGGUGGAGUGUGUAUAAAGAUUGUGAGUAGGUCAACAAGGAAUUGAUCACUCUUAGUAAGAAGAGAUGACAUCCUAUGUAUUCUUUUCUCUUGAUAAACUCAAGAAGACUUUGGUUAAAGCAAAUGAAGGUU